GGGCCAGUAGUCUAGCGGAUAAGGCACCAGCCUUCGGAAGAUAAUACUGAAGACAGCUGGGGGUCGCAGGUUCGAAUCCUGCCUGGUCCG
rnacentral:tRNA from 1 species